UUUUUUUUUUUUUUUUUUUUUUUUGGCUUGGUUUCCAAGGCGUUUGCCGCCCAUUUGUAGCCGGGUCACCCGCUCCACAACGGUACCUCUUACUCUGCGUAGAGGCAAAUAAGCCCCAAAGGACGCUGCCAGAUGGUUCGAAUUCCCUCUCUCAACUUUUUUUUUUUUUGUCGACACAGGGGUGUCCGCGUCAAUUCUUACGGGGCCCGACUAAUCCCUGUGAUUUGAGCCCGGCGCUCCAACCCGACCCAAGCAGGUAUUCAGAUUAAUUCUUACGGGAUCUGGACACGAGCCCGACUAAUCCCUCUCUCUACUUCCCUCGCCCAUUAAUUUCUAUUGGAUACCGAUUCAAGACUAUUCUCAUUAGGAAACGGUCACUAUUAGACGUAUGUACUAAAGUUACAACUUAAUGAUAAUCGUUUAUUGACAACAAUUCUUCAAGUCAUAAUGCUUCGAAGAUCAAUGUGAUCGUUCUCAUAAAUCAUAAAUGUACGUCACAUCUCUUCACAUUAUGAAUCCCUCAUAUACUUCACUGAGAAAAGAACAAUUAGGGCUCAUUUGGUUUAUGAAGAUCAUGACACAAAGGGAAAAAAAAGGCAAUUAGGAGCGUGGUUCAAAGUCAUGGUCGCGAUUGCCGUUUGGACAGUUCCACAUCGAUCUUGACAUAUCGAUUACGGUCUCAGUGAGACGCAAAUUUUAAAAUAUUUAAUAUUUUUAAAAUUGUGAAUAAUAUAAAAAAAAUAAUAAACAAAAAUAAAAAAUAACAAAAAUAAUAAAAAUUCGAAUUGACUCAAGCUGACUCGAAACGACUCGACUAUUAUUCGACUGUUUCUAUCCUUCUCGAAGACAUCUCGGUAAUCGAUCAAGUUCUUGGUGAUCUAUUAUCUCAAAAUUAUCUCAUCCCGAAAUUGUGUCAGAGAAUUCCAUUUCGGUGACAUCUCGACUGAGUCUUUGAACCAUCGCGAGAAGAACUCAUCUGACGAGAGUAUUAUUAACCCUCCUCCUUUCCAUGCUCCUUCAUUUUCAGACGUUAAUGAUUCGCCCAAUCAGUGGCAAACCAUGACAACAGGAUGAAAUAAUCUUCUUUAGCGAGAGUUUGGAUAUUUACCUCAAAACAAGUUGAUUAGAUGAUAAUACGACUAGAACUUUGUACACCUUUUUAACCAAUUUUAGUGACUUAGGUUGAGAAGGGUAAUCUCUGUUACAACAAGCUCUAGCAGUCAUAGCCGUGAGCGCGGACGGACAACAUUCUACCAUAGUUCACAAUAAUUCACAAUUGGUAAAUCAUAGAUGGCUUCCCGCGGGAAAUAUAAUACAUGGACAGCUGGUGCUCUGAAGCUAUCUGCACUACCACUCCAGGUCACUCGAGAAAACGGUUCAGAAAGCAUGGAAGAAUACAUACGACUAACAGACAACCAUAGUAACACAAGUAGAAAGAUGGAAUAUGUAUCAUCUGUGACAACACGCAGAUUCCAGGUUUUAUUCGUCAAUAACAGUCAUCCAUAGCAUAGACUCUUAAAGGCUAAACUUUGGUAAAAGCACAUGGUAAAUCCAAGAUCCCAAAAAAUUGUGAAUUUAAUUACUGGCGUCUGUACAUUCUAAAAAGUUGUUUCCCAAACCAGGCACUCUCCUCAACUCAAUCAAAUAAGUCAAAAAUGGAAAAUAAACCUUAUACAUAAAAAAUACAGAAUAGGCCCACCCUGCAAGAGAAUUAUAUCACACAAUUUACAAAAUGAACAACCAAAAUUAAAUUUCCGCACCAACCAAGAGCACGUUGCAGUUAAUCAUGCCCAGCAUCAAUAGGAGCACCUGUCCUGGCUUGUGAUAUUCUGUUUGCAUAGAUAGUUACUAAUCGCAGUUGAGUACUGUUCAGCCCCUCCAAAUGUGGAAGAAACGCUUUCCCCAGCAUGAUAUAGAUGUCAACAAGACAGAACACAACAGUCUGCCACCAAGGAUGAAAUACAAAUGUUAAAAGGAAGCUAUUAGAAAGAAUCUACAUACAUUUUCAACAAAAAGACGGCGUGAACAAGCUUUCUACUCCAGCAACCAAGGCAAAUCGACAAUCUACACAACUACACAAUGAACAGAGACAAUCCGCCACAAACAAAAUAUCCCAGGAGAAAUAAAGCCAACAGUAGAAAUGCCCCCAUAAUGCACAAGAGAGUUUUUGACCUCAGCCAAGAUUCAUUAAGAAUGAGUACUCAUUUUACCCCAAAGUUUUCCAUCUUUUUCAAAAAGUAACACCCAUCAGUCAUCCCACAUGUCGCAUCUUGAAAAGCCAACCAUCUAGCCCUACUUCAAUCAUUACCCAGCAUCAAAGAUCCUAGCUUAGAAAUAAACCAAUAUUCUUCUCUUGUAGGGAUUUUCAGAUUAAAGGGUUGGUUAAUGAUGAAUGAUGCCUGAAUUAAGUUUCCUUACUUGCAAAACUACUUGCUAGAUCAGCUGACGGAAAAUACUCACUAGCUCAGCUGACGGAGUUCAAAGGUCGCUAGACGAUAUUUCCAAAUCCAAAAAUGAAAAGCUUGCUAAACAGAACACUAGUUACCUUACGAACAUCAGCGCUCUGGUUGCCAAAAGCAUCAAAAAGUGCAGGCAGAAAUGAAGAUAACUGUCUCAUCAAAUCUUCUUGUGACAGCCUCCCGACAAGCUGCAAAAAGACGAGCCAGAUCAAAUAAACCACACAAGCAAACAAUUUCAACUUUUCUCUCAUUAAGACAUUUUGUAUUUGAUAUAGCCAUUUCUGCAAGCAUGUUAUCAUUAAGAAGCAGCUGUCUCUUGUAUAGAUUGUGUAUUAAUCUACUAUAACAACAUUUAUUCAACAUUUCUUCUGAUACAAGGACAAAUUUGACUGGAUUCAAAGGAAGGCUUCCUAGAUAUAGAACACCAAGUUGAGAACUAUGACUAAAUUUCAAAUGCCAUUGGUGUACAUCCAACUAAACUGAUUAACAAAGACACAGCAAAUGAGUCUCGACUUCCAAAACAAACUUUGCUGAUAACCACCAAGAAUAUGAACACUGCAGCUAUCUUACAGGAUCAGCCAUGCCAGAACAAACACAAAUUUCCUCCAUUUGUGACACAGACUCUCCAAGUAACUCCUAGGUUUCAACUCCCUAAAAGCCACCCCAUAAAGGCCAAAACUUAGGUAGACCCAGUCUUCAAGGACCCAAUAGCUCAGAUUGUGCCACACCACUUCACCAAGUGGUGUGGCACAAUCCGGGUCAUUGGGUCUUCGAAGACCACCAAGUGGUGUGGCACAAUCUGGGUCAUUGGGUAUUUGAAGACCAAGUCUACCCAAGUGUGAGCUCCCUAUAAAACUAUCCUGAACAUGUACCGACACAAGUUUUGGUAGUUCACAAUUCACAUGACAGAAGCCAGCUUGUUGAACAUAUUUUGCAACAAAAUGUCAGUGGUUAAGCUUAUUGAAGGAUACUUGUAUGUCCGUGGAAAUUGAAACCGCACAGUUCACACACAUUUAGGCAACGAAAGAUGGGAAGAGAUCCAAAAGAAGAUGAUAAACCAUAAAUAAAAUUAAUACCUUCGUCAAACAGUUUAUGCAAGUGACGAGAGUUUUUUCAUCUUCAGUAACCAGCAAAGGGACAAUAACCUGCAAAAGAAAAGGUAAACCAUGGAGCAAGCUCAAAGAACUAAACCAACCAGUACAACCUGGAGGUGUUAAAAGCAAAGAACAAUGUUAUGACUUACGCUUAAACAUCUAAAUGGAUCAUACUGUGACAAGACUAAUAGUUAAACAAUGCUCUGCUUCAUUUGAAACCUGAAGCAAGAAGUUGCUAUAAGACAUGAACUAUAGGUUACACAGAAAGAAAUUGGCCAGAAAACACAUUACUUUUGGAACAAUAUCUUUUGUAACGUGAAGCAGCUUUUCAAUCACAAUCUCAAUGGAAUCCUCCAUGGCAUGUUUCUAGAAACAACAAAGAAGUGUUAAGAAAUGCAAAUAUAAGAAUUCCAUACUGAAAAUGAACUUAAGCAAGGGAAACUUAUGGUUUAAAAAAAAAAAAGCUUAGACAUGUCCACAAAGAACCUCAGGAAGGAUUGGAAUUGAACCUGAUUCUUUAGCAUUUCAACUACAAGGGAAAGAGCAAGUUCCCGGAUUAACGAAUCAGAAUCGUCCAACACUUCCAAUACAACUGUCAGAAUCUGAUUGAAAUACUGCAGCAUAACAAAGAUCAAUAAAUAGUCAACAAGAAGAUAUCCCCCAGAAGAAAGAAAGCGCUCAAAGCAACAGGCUACCAUCCAUAAAUCACAUCCCUAGUGACAACCCAUCCCCCCAAAGAAAAGAAAUAUUCUAUCCUUAGUCUUUGACCCCGUUUUAACUGGUUUGACUUUUGCAGCAAAUUGAGGUAGAGCAAAACAAAAUGAUGUAGAUAACGCAAAAGAGAAAAGGUUGGUUUUCCUCGUGCAUUUGGUUAAGUAGAAAAUGUUUUGAGUGAGAAUGCAAAUUAAUGCAUGAUGUCAAACAUUCUAGCAACUAAAGUUCACCUAAUCAAACAUUCUAGCAACUAAAGUUCACCUACACAUUCUGCAGAAAGAUUAGAUUGUUUCCACCAACUUCCCGAUAAACCAAACAAAGAAACUUACUACUUAAAGUUUCUUUUCCUUCUCCAUUCAUUCAACCGGCACCUUCAGGUAGCAUAAAGCUAAAUCACAUCAACGCCAACAUCCUGGUCUAAAACAAGCAUUCCAUAUUUACUACAUAUAGAUCUACAUAUAGAUUCUCCACACCAAUGUUUUAACUUCAAUUACAUUAUCCAAUAAGCCCAAAAACCAUCACAAUUUCUCAUUACUCUACAUUCAUGUUAAAUUUAGUCACACUCUUCCUAUAUUUACUGCUCUGCAUCAAAUAUCCUUCUCUUCAUGCACUUGAACCAUCAUCGCUCACAUUAUCUUCCUUACCAGCAACUACAAUUUCAGUGGAAUUUGUGCAAGGCAUUUCACACUAAUUGUUUCUAUUGAAACUUAAAUCCAUCUUGCCUAAAUGCAAAUGAUAAUCUACUGUCAAGAAAAACAAGGAACUACGACAUGUAAACUUGUGAGGGAAUCAUUUACCUUGCUCCAAAUAGAUUCAUCAUUCGCUACAGAAACUUCAACUAACUGCUGAAGGCAUCACGCUUGUUUUUUGUAGGACUUCCAUCAUUCCCAUUGCAAAUCUACAGAAAAACAGAUAACAUGUAAAGAUGCAACAUAUGAGUUGAACUUCCAGUUUCAAUCUCCACAGAGAAAUAAAAAUGCUCAAAGACUAAUUAGUACAGCUGCAAAAGUUCUUAUAGUCCAAAAUAAACUUACAAGAUGAAGAAUUUGAGGAAUGCUUGGCCCUGUUUCUAAAGCAGAGUUUGGUUUUAAAGCUGCAACUCUUGGAGAAUCAUGUACCACUUGAAGUGAUGUUUCAAUAUCAGCUGCCAAUGCCACAUUCACCCUUUGAUGGUUUGAUCCAAUUAACCCAUUCAGGUCCGCACGUGGCGUUGAAGUAGCCUCUACAUUAGCAGUGCUGUCAGCACGUCCAAUCUGAUCCCUACUAGUCCAUGAUCCAAUACUCUCACUGGUGGCAUUGGCUAUGUAUUUCACAUCCUUGGAAUUAGAGGCCAUGACAUCAUUGUUGGAACCAGUCUCUAGACCAUUAUACAAAUAUCCCUGAAUUUCAUCAGAUGCUUGACUCACAGAGCCUGUGAUAUGAGCUAACUCUUUAGCAGAGCUCCACUUUCUACCCCCAUCACUGUCGAUUGAGCCUGAAGAAUAUCUUCCCAACAAAGGAUUCUUCUUUGAGGCUCCAACAUAUCCCUCUUCAGAAGAAGUUCCAAUGACAUCAGAAGGAUCAUAUAAAGACUUUGAGCGUUCUUGUUCUGCAAAAAAUUCAUCAAGUCUACUUCUAUACGUGGGGUGUACUGUUUAAGGGCUCUCCUCAAGGAAUUUUGCUCUUCAACUGAUAAGCUGAGAAUAAAAUUUAAAACUGCUACUGAAUCAAAGUGGGUGUACACUGAUAUGAUACAUGUAAUUGCUGCUUCCUUUAGUUUUGUAUUUUUAUCAUGCACCAAUGGCGUCAAUUUUGCAAGCCAUAGUUUUAGGAUUCCACUAUUACCAGAACCUUCAGUGUUAGAUGCAUGCUUGUUGAAUGAACCAAUUGCAAAUUCAAUAACAGCCAGUUUAGCUUUUGGAGAACGCUGUUCAUCCAAUGAUCGAAGCAAUGCUGGUAAAAGAGAAUCUAUACCAUAUGUCUUGCCAACGGUUUCCAAUGUACUUGAGCAAGGUUGUCUUACUAAUUCUUUUGGAUCAAUCAACCUAGAAAAAACAUGGGGUAGUAUUCUCUCAACAUAACUCUCAAAGGGCUUUCUACAAGCUGGGAUCAGAUCUGCAAGCGUUGAGAGAGCAGCCUGUGCCACUUUAUGAUGAGGAUCAUCCAAAUGCUGGAAAAACAAUUUCAUCACUUUCUCAAAACUCUGCACAAUUUCUUGAAUUCCACGUGGACCUUGCUGCAAGAGAGACCUCAGAUAAUUAAACGCAGCAACUCUUGCACUCCAAUCAGAACUGGAACUGAGCCCCUCACUCAGUGCGUCAUGGAGUGAUGUAGGACCCUCAACAAAGUUAGACAUGUCACCAGUGAAAGCUGGCUGUCAUCAAAGCUCCUUCUCCUGCCUGCUGACAUUCGUCCAGCUGCAUUCUUCCUCAAAAGCGGCUUUUGGAAAUUGGGAACAUAACUAUUAUGGGACUCCCUCAAAUUGCCAUCUCUAUAUGGUGUAUCUGCAUAAUGUCUUUCAACAUGAGAGUUCAUAGUUCGCCUGGCUUCUCUAAAAUCAAAAUUCUCUUCCAGUAAACCUGUUUCAUGCAGUUUUUCAACUUUCUUGGCUGAAUACGAUGAAAUUGCUGACAAUGACUCACUUCCUGCACCACCUCGGUAUGAUAGUCUACCUGAAUCUCUGGAAGCCUGAAUCUGAGAGAUUAUAUCAGACAUAACCAGGCCCCCAUUGUGACUAUUACUUUUUGACAUUCCAGAUGUUGUGUCCACUGCCAAAGCAUUUGCGAGACUAUUUGAAGCUGGCACAGCAAGAGGAAAUGGCGGAUCACGAGACGAUGGUGGGUCAACUCCUGCACUAGGGGCAAUAAGAGGCCAACCAGAAAAUGUUAAACAGUAACUAGGGCCAAGCUUCAAAUAGAAGAUUCUUCAGAAACUAAAAUGAUGAUUCAAUCACAGCACAAAGAACUUUUUACACUAAAAGCAACAAAAUCUGUCACAACAAGAGAAGGAACAGAGAAUUAAGUACCUAGAUCCAAACUGGAUGAUCGGCUUUUUUCCGAUAAAUUUAGACCCUGAGCAUGCUUUCGAUAGCAGUAACUUUCUCUUUGCUUGCAUUUAGCACACUUUCAAGGCUACGUUCUGUGCUUUUAGACGAAGACUUAGACUGUGAUAGAAAAAGUGCAGACGAGAUAGAUGUCCCCGAGGAUAAGCUCGUGCUUCUAUCCAUCGCAACUAUGGCAGAAGUUCCAUAACCAGGUAGGUUGGAAGCAGAUGAAUGAGAGGUAAAGGACAUAUGCAAACUCCUUUCGCGAACAGAAGGAGAAGCAUGACGCCUGUGGAUGCCACCAUCCUCAUCGUUUAUAAUCUGUAUGACAGCAAAGCUUCAGUAAAAAAUCUUCAAAAGAAAAAUUAUAGUUUGGCAUGCUCCAAAGUUACAUACAUACAUAGAUACACACACACACAUAUAUAUUAUGGUUUUAAGAAAAAUGACAGUCUAGGAAAUAGAAACACAUACCCUUUGUAUAGCAGGAUCAAAGGACAUGAACAAGCGACGGGAACGCUCUGGCCAAGUUUUUGCAAACAUUCUAAAACAUGUUCUUGCAGUUGAUCUUACCUGUCAACUUACAGUAUGUCAAUACAUGAUAAUGCUGCUAAACUUAAAAGAAAACAAAAGCUGAGCCACAAGCAACACUUUGCUGGUUCUAUUAUACGCCGAUGACAAACAAAUAACGAUGGAAAAAAAUUCAAGAACAAGGCCGGUUGUAGGAAGAAUACAUAAAGAAUAAGCUGGACAAAGAUCAAUACCUCACUCAUUGCAUCUGCAACACAACAUUUAAUAAGCUCCUCAUACACUUCAGCUGAGCGUUGUAUUUCAGGGGCAUCAGCCCAGUAUUCCAAUAUCAAAAGUGCAUAUUCACAACACCUGACAUUGUGAGAAAAGGUCCUAUAAGCUCAAACAAGAACCCACAAAUUCAACCCCUACCUUGGAGGAAAAACAGAAUCUCACCUUGCACGAAGAACAGCACUGCGGUCAUUUUUGGCAGAAUCAGCUAUUCGAAGAAGUGAACGAGAAACUUUGCAAUUUCGCAACAUCUAAAUUUUGAGAAAAGAAGGAUAUGAAUUAAAGAAAUAAAUUCAAGUACAUGAGAAAAAGGACUAGCUUAAAGACUAGCAUAUAGAACAUUACCGUUUUUAUGCAGUUAUCUGCAGAUUCUGCAAUGACUAGUACAGUUAUUACAACAAGCUUGAAAAGCAUCUGAAGUCAAAAGGCAAUGACCAACGAAUUAGAUAGUGAAAAAACAACAAUGAUCAACAGCAUAGAACUGUACUUACUGGAAUGAACAUCUCAGCACAAGCCUCAAAAUCUCCCAAAAGCUCUUUCGAUAAGAAAAUUAAUAGAUGGCAUGCCUAAAAAAGUGAGGAAAAAAAAUAUGAUAUAAGCUACAGCUCAUCAAUUAGACAUAUUAGGAAAAUAAGUUGAAGGUAAUACAUACAAAAUUACUGUGACAAUCAUUUUCCAAAGGAAAAUCAUCCCAAUUCUCAACCCAUGGACUGUAUGAAAGAAAUGCAGACCAUGGAAAAUAAUUUAUGAUCCAUUUACACAAUUUAAAGAGAAACGCCCGAUUAUCAAGCAGUUUCCACAAUCCAAAAGUAAAGCCCUAACAGUUUUAUGACAUUGCCAGAAAAGAUACAUACAACUAUAUACCUGGUAUAAAAUUUAAGUAGGUGAUCCUCUUCAAGAUUUUAAAUAUUUCUCUAUCUUUCUUAACCAUUAAACUAUGAUGACCCAUAAACAUGACAUUAUUGGACAAAUUUCUGGACAAUUUUGUCUCAAUAAGUGAUUCAUCUUCCAUAUCAGAAGAUAGAAAAGGGUUAUGUGACUAGACUAUCAACUGGAAAGACAUCUCCUAAAACAUAGAAACUACAGAUUGUCAGCUCCUUCCAGGUAAACAAUGCUACAAACUUCCUUUUGGCCGUAAAGUAUAUCAGGAAAUAAUGCAAAAAGAAAUCAUGGAUGGAACAACUAAUAAUUUUUACGAUACCUGCUUCACUAUGCUAGAUCUCCGAUCAGAUAAUUGUGUGCUAAGAGGCCCAACAAGUUGCUUUAGAAGCACUCGAAAGCAUGGAUAAUCAAUUGCACCUGAUAGAACUCAAAUGAGAUUGUAAUACAAAGUCCUAAUCCUCCCAAUGAAAAUUACAUCAGAUCAAUGCUAAAUUUUCACAAGAAUAUACAGUUUGGGAUAUGCUAACUUUUAAAAACACUACAUGUCAUGCAAUGCUUUGGAAGAAAAAAUAGAUUUGUGCCAGCUUAUAGAAAUACCAUCAAAGGAGUAACUCCCACAAAAGUCAUUAUCUUAAAGAUGGAAUAAAGAAUACCCCAAAAAAAAAGAAGCCUGUAACUACAUGAUUGUCAAACUUAAGCAACAAGCCCAUCAAACUGUUCUUCGAGAAAAUCUAAAGCCAACUAUUAAGGGUUCAACAGAAGAUCAAUACAACACUACCUCUUGACCUAAGUAUAAGAUAGCCACAACUUGCAAAGAAAAUUUGUCUGUAAUAACAUUCUCACUGAAAGCCUAAUAGCAAUAUAUUAUCAGUACGUAAAUGUUAAGCAACAUUUGUUCCUCAGCUCCAAAUGCAAGACCCAAGUCAGAAACUUCUUAGUAACCCACUUUCAUUGAAAUACCAACACUAGCUAUGUAAACCAGCAACCGAAAAGGAAGGAGAGAGAGAGAGAGGUCAGAGUGUAGCCAGUUCUCUUUUAAAAAACUACAACAAACAUAUCGAGACUUCUGGUCCAAGACAGGUGCCUCUCAUACAUUAAUAAAUAGAAUGCACCAGCUUCUUUGGAGUGGUGAAAUCCUUUUCCAUUGCGAAUACACAGAUACACAGAGCAAGAUAUAAGAACAAAUUUCUCAACCAAAAUUCAAAAUUCACAAGGGUUUACUUUUCAUAUUAGUUUUGCUGCUUUCCUAUUAAAGAGUUGCAGAGAAAGGAGUAAAGGAUGUCUUGUUCAGCAAACAAACCUCCAAUUACAAGACCUUCGACUCUUUGCAUGGCUGCAAUUCGGAUAGACCAAUCUUUAUCUGGUAUAAGGGUAGAAGCAAUCUUCUCAAAUUCCCGAACCAACUCCUUCUCUGAGUAAACUUUGAUGGGCUCUACAGGUUUUUCUGUGACAUCACCAUCACCUGCAUAAGCAAAGGGCAAAGAAACAGAUAAUAUGACAUUCUACAAGGAAUAAGGCGAACAAUAAAAAUGAAACAAUUUGACACCACGCAACUCAAUAUAUGUCAUCCAAUAAAAGUAAGCCUUUCAUUAACAUCAUUAUGCACUAACCUCCAAAGAGAGAUACCUCACGUGUAGAACUCUUGGCCUUAGGACUGCUCUUUUUAGUACUAAGGUUGGCAGACUUGAUCUCGCUAGCAGCAUAAUUACUCACAAGUCCAUCAGCUGACCUUACUUUUGGCUCAAUUCUCUCUAAUCUGGCAUUGAUAUCUUUUACCUACAGUCAGUUGUAAUUAAAGAAGAGUCACUUAGAAAACAAAAACAAGGACAACGUAUUUAAGUCCUUCCAUGUCAUAAUAGAAAAUCCAAACCCACAAGGCAAAAACUGAUGACAAACCACUAAAGCUCCUAUUUGAAAUACUAACAAGAUACAGAUCGAGCUACAUAAUACCAUUGUUGCAGGAAGAUUUUGACGCUGAAGCUCAUCACGAAAUUGAGGACCAAUCUGAUUAUACAUCUCCUGAAGAAGGAAAUGAAGUGAAAUUAAUGCAUCAUGAUCAGUCUAUUGCUUGUUAAGACAUGAGCAAAUGGUGCCUUCUUCAGCACCAAGAGACAGGAGUACUACCUCAGCAAGCUCAAAUAAUGGGGGUUUAAAAUCACUCCAAGAUGUUAAAAAAGAUUUUAAACAUGCAAUUCAGCUACCUCAAUACAUGAUAUAGCCGCUUCACGCACAGCAGGAUUUGGGUCAUUCAGCAUGUACAAAAUCUGAACAAACAUAGCAGAAACUUUAUUUUAAUUUUCUGUACUUGAAAAACUUCACCGCAUAUAUUAGUUCUAAAAUAUACAACAAAUAACACGUUGUAGUAAAGGUUAUCAAGAAUAAUAAUUCCAUACAGGAGGAAGAAUAGCACGUUGAAGCGGAAGCUCAGUGGAUGCGAAAAGACCAAUUGCUGAGGUGACUGUACGUGCAAAUUCUUCUCGUACUCUCCAGCUCUUAUGUGUCCAAGCAUAAGACCCCGCUCUUUCAACAAUAAUUGUUGGUGAAGAAACCUAUUACAGGAUAGCAAUUAUUCUUCAAAAGAAUUUAAAUCAUAACAGGAAUCUCCAGCAUCUGAAGAAUGGUUCAAAGAACUGUAAACCAAAAGGGACUAUUAUCUAAGUAAACACAACAAUAAACACUUGAUAUAGCAACAGCAUCUGAUGAUAGACAGUAUUGCAGUCUAAGUCAUAUUUUACAGGAAUCUCCAGCAGUCCAUAGCCUCACCAUUCAUCCUAACAUUCGAUCUUUUCAUAUUAAUGCACAUCAAAACUGUCAUUUCCUCAGUUAAUGAAGCAAAGACAAUAGGGAAGUCGACAAGCAUCCUUCAGUCCUGUAAAGUUCUCCCGAAAAUUUAAAAGUAGCAACAUGUAUAUUCUAACUGAAGCCAUUAUAAAUGUACUUUUAAAUAUCAGUAUCCAAAUCUUUUAUGGUCAUAAAGAUUCCAUAGCAAACAAAUUCAACUAAAAUGCUAAUUAAAUAAAACAUUAGUUUAAUUCACAAAAACUAUAGUAAAUUCAACAGUUAUUAAGAAAAACACUAGUUCACAUUUUGGUUCAAAUAAACCCAAUAUAGAGAACACAAGUUACUCUAUUUCCAAUUCCUAGUACCUAAUCCAGUACCCAUUCUAAAACACCAUAAACUAAUUCGGUGAGGUUGAAGUAGAUUUCGCCAUCAGAACCAGAUCAAAAAUACCAGGAUUACCAACAGCUCCCCGCCUUCCGGAGCAAAAGAAAACAACCAAAGGAAAAAAAAAAGGUUCUCUUUCCACAACACGCAUCAUCAACUUAGUUAGACAAGAUUUAAGAAUAGAGCUAUCCGCAUUGUCAAUUUACUCAACUUUUUAAUUAAAUUAUUCAAUAUAUUCAGAUACAUCAGCCAACCACCAAUUCCAACUAAGCUAAUCCAGCAAAGCAAAUACCCGCAAAUUCACCAGCAUCCAAUGCUGAAUUCAACGCCAAGCAAAUUGCACGAAAACUCAUUGAAUUGAUAAAAUAGUAAAUGAAUUUAAACACCAAUACCUCCAUUAGAGUAAGUAAAAGCCGGCGAGCGGCGUCCCUAACCGGCUGUUUCGCAUCUCCGAGUCUCUCAACAGCGGCAGGAACUAAGGCAUUGAAAUGAAGCUUCAAAUGCUCACCGGAAAGUACCGCCGCAGAGGCGAGGGCUUGAAGAGCGCCCUGCGAAACCCUAAAAUUAUUAUCUUUCAAGAGAUCUAAGCAGGUAUCAACAAGCGACGUAACUUCCGAGGAGGAUAAGCUCUUCCUGGAAGCUUCUAAAAGUUGGUGAAGCCUCUCCACAGCCGCCAUUCUCUCCUUGGUGUCCUUGGCACGCGCCAAUUCCAAUGCCUCCUCCAUCUUUUUGGAAUUAAACUAGGAGUUAUAAGUUAGGGCUCCGAUCUGGUGCGACGAAUAUCAGAUCUGAGUGGGAAUGGGGACUAUGGGGAAAGAGGGAACUCGGCGGAGCAGUGAUACAAUGGAGAAGGAAAGUGAAGAAGACAGUGUGAGUGAGUGAGUGAGUGCGUGUGUGUGUGAGAGAGAGAGCAGCAGUAUGUGCUGUGUGUGUAAGAAUUUGGGUGAGGAAAGGGAUGUGCUAGAUUGACGGAGGAGCGGAUGCAGGAUUAGAGUGGGAGGCUGAUCUGUCAAUGUUGUUGGAGCAGUUGGGAAAAUCUUUUACUCUCUAACCACGGACCCUGGGGGGAUAACUCAGGAAAACACCUAACGUUUUUUAGGAAGUUCAGUGACAGUAGCAGUUCUAUUUUACUGGUACGCUAUCUCAAAGCGGAAUUUGUUAGAGUAACAUGUGGGUUAUGUCGAUGGGGUUCUGUUUGAGGCCUUCUGCAGUUCAGAAACGACUACGUAAAUUUGUUUUUGUUUCACAAGAAACAAAAAAUUCCUCGUGGGAGCCGUAUUUGUUUGCUUUCAUUUCUCUGGUUUCCUGAAGCGAAUGUUUUGGAGCAAAAGUUGCAUGCUUGUCGGAUUUCAUUUAUUCAUUUGUUAUUGGAUGUUAUGUUUACAAAGAUUUCAUUUCACUCGUGAGUGAAGGUAAUAUAUAAUUCAAAUAUAUUAAAUUUAAUAUUUAACAAUUCAAUAAUUUAAUAGAUUCAUAUUUCAGUUUUCAAAUUUCAAUUUUAUCAAACGAACCCUAAGUGAGAGGAUUCAUACUAAUACAUUUUCAAAAUGAAGACAUACCGCUUUUUCUCUGUUUUAUAGCACCUCAUUAGAGCUGAUAACCAAUUCCAAGUCCUAAUGAGUUAUACAUGGCCUUAUUAAUUUACUUGCUCGUAUCAUAAACAUAUAUAUAUAUAUAUAUUUUAUUUAUAUAUAUUAUAUUCAAAAAAUGUUACAGUAUUUUUAAAAAAAAUUAUCUCAAAUAAUUGCCUAUCAAAACAUUGCUUGUCACAAUCAAAAGACGCAUCUAAAUAGAGGUAUUUAUAAAUAAAAAAAAACUGCAAAAUCAAUCGAUCUAAUUUAGAUCGGAUUUCAAAUUUCACUGCAAUGGAAUUCGAAAAAAAAAUCAAAAUAUGAUAUUCUGUGAAAUAAUUUGGCAAUGGAUAUUAAAAGUAUAUAACUGAAUUACUGAUUAUCAUCGGACGAAUUACCGAAAUUUUUAUAAUAUAAUGUUAUAUAUGUGCGUCCGUGUACGUAUGUAUAUUAGUUAUAUAUAUUACUAAAUAUAAGAGUAAAUCUUAAUCCUAUUACUAGAUACUAAUUAGCUCAUUUAAAUAUAACUAUACCUGGAAGUCAAAUUUUGAUGGAAGUUGACACAUAGAAAUUUAGCUUGACAAUUAGAUUUUGAAUAAAUGUUUAUUUCAAUGUUGUUUAAGAAUUUAGAUUAUGAGUCAGGACUUCGGAUUAUAAACCUUAUUAUUAUUGCAUAUCAUGUUUGUUUGAGCUAAGUUGAUUCAUUUCACUCGUAAGCUCCUUGUCUUCAGAUUAUGGAAUCAUGUACCGUUUCGGUUGGGCUCACCAGACCAAAAUGAUGGACGCAACGUUUUUCCACGACAACAAGUUCUACCUAAUUAGGAAUCAAAAUUAUCAGUUGUUCUCCUGUCUUUCUGCUGAGCGCCAUCAUAUUUUGUUUGUUAAAUCAAAGUUCCAUUUCCACCGGUGCCUUGAGUUUCUGAAGACGUAACGAGGUAUGAUUACAUUAUAGUUAUUAUGAUUGACGUUUGAUAAAAACCCAUUAAGAAGAAGAAGACUAAUCCCAGUUGGCGACGAAGCCACGCCACCAAACCCCAGUUGGACGAAUCCUUAGAAUCACUACAAAAUAAUAAAGUAAUCAGCUUUAGCUUCAGCUGAUCCAGUUGGGUCCCAGAGGGGACCAAAAUAAUAAUAAUAAUAAACCAAGAAGUGAUUGAGCUUUACAGGUUGGCAAUUAAGUCGGUGAGCAAAUGAAAGGUUAAACUGGAGCAUCACAGGUUGUUAAUUACUACUACUUAAUGAUGUUUUCUGGGAUUCACGAGGCAGAAGCCCUUUCUCAAGUCCUACUACCCAUUGCCCACUGCCACAUGGACCAGAGAAGCGUCAACACAUUGGGCCUCCGACGUUCUACUUGGGCCUCUUAUUAUGGACUGGUCUUUUUGAUUCAAUGAUGUGAGAACCAUCCAGCGUGUUGUGGACAUGGAUUGACCCUCAAAGAGACAUGACGGAUUAGUUUUAUUCUCUAGCAAAAUUAAGGAUCAACCUUUCUUUUUUCUACCUGGAAAAUUUUUAUUGCCAAGUCGUGGGGCUUGGCCGUCGGGAUGGUCAAGUAUUAAAGACCAAAAAAACAGGAAGGGAUUUGCGGCAUUGAAACUUGAUGUAGAAUGAAGCGGUUCAAAUCUUUGUGAUGCAAUCAUAGAAUGAGAAAGGAAAUGCAAUAAAUUAUGGUAACGCAAAAGCAAGCAGCAGACGAGCACUUAAAAAAAAAAAAAAAGAAAGUAGUAGAAGUAAUUAGUACAUCUGGGACUAGUACAACACGCGACUCGAUCAAAGAUUGUAGAAUCACUAAAUCUUUGAAUCCAGGCCAUGAUAGUGCUGAGGUUCAUGGGAGUCAUGUAUUUGUCGGAUCCGGUGAGGAUGGUUUGGACAAUAAUCUUAUUUGCCCGCUCCGAUGGGUGAAAAGGAUCCCAAAACGCAUACACAUUUCUGUCCGGGCAUAGAUUUGAUGCGGCAGUGCAGAGUCCAACUCCAUUGAAUGCUCCUUGUCCACAACAUGCUACCUUAGACGUGACAAAACCUGUUACAGUUUUCCAACCAGAAAAUGUUAUUGUCAGCAUGCAGUAUUAGAAAAUUAUAUAUAUAUUGUAAAGACCCUUUUGAUCGCUGCCCUGACUUCAUUCAAGGCUUCUUGCAAGAGGCAGGAGGCAUGCAAAGAAUUGGUUUAUCAUAUUAGUGCUAGUUUAGAACAAACCAAAAGCCCGGGAUUGGUGAUGAAGUCAUUCUGCAUUUGCAUUGCAUUGACGGCGACAAACACGUUUGAUCCCAGAUCUUGGUUGAGACCUUGAAUCAUUUGAAUGAGGAGCGGGUUGAAGGUGGCAGCUGCUUGUUGAGGCUCCUCUGCACAUUCCCCAUUUCUACUCCUUGUAGCCAGUUCCCCUGGAACGCAACCUAUGGGCCCAGUUCCUGUCACCAGCACCCUUCUUGCUCCUAAUUCGUACAGUCUCUGCACAAAUUAUUAUUUUUUUUUCGAGGGAGCAAUGAACAAGCCAAGUAAUUAAUUUGAUGAUGACCAAAUAUUAACUAGAAUUAUAUACUGUUAUGAGUUACACAGGUUGACACGUAAUACCAAAUGCACCAGAAGUCAGCGCGCGAUGCAUUAUCCAUUUACCAUUUUGUCAUGUCCGAUUAUUGAAAACAAGCCUUGGCUAAAAAUCUGUGUUGUCUGAUUAGUUUUGCUAAGUUCCUUCUGGCGGUGGAAGAAUGCAGACAGCGCCAGGAAAAAAAAAAAGGAUAAAUUACCAGUAGAAUUUUGCGGUAUUCGGAGAUGAGGAAAACGGAAUAAUCUUGGAUGUUGUAUUGAAGUCUUCUGGCAGACAAUGGCGUCAGAAAAUAGUUAUUAACGUAGUCAUUCCCACCAAGUGUGAUGAGAACCAGCGCUUGGUUCACCCGCUGCUCUGCCUGGUCCGCCCAAUUAGUGCACCAAGUCGCUGCUGGUACCGAGCGAACAGCUCCAAUUGUUGGGCAAUUCUUAUUAUGUUUGCCUAAUGCCCAAAUCCACAAAAACCAAUUAAACCCCAAAAAUUACAUAUGGCUGUGGAAGAACAGCCCCGGAUCCAGUUGUUGUGUCUUUCACGAGAGCAAAUAAAUAUGGGGCUGUGUGUAUACGCUACUAACUGGACACGUAAAGCAAGAAGGAUUAUGACUUCAGUGGUACUGGUACGUAAUUGCAUUAAAAAUCCAACCAACUCAGAUAUCCCAAAGGUGAAAAGUACACAACCAAAGCUACCUGGGAAAGUGGGGAGCAAAACAAAGGAUAUCGUAUACUAGUACAGUUGAACUUGGUUGUUUUUUUUUUUUUUUUCCUUUCCCCCAUUUUUACAGCUGAUCAACAGCUCAGGAAAUGGCAGUGCAAUGAUCGAAGAUCAGAACUUACAAAUUGAAUCCCUGUAUCGUUAAGGAUUCCGAUUCCAGCAGAAGCGAAAUUUGCACCUACUAAACAGCUUCUCUCCGUUGAGCUCAGGACUUAAGUACGGCAAGGUUGACUCAGCCCCAAGGCGCUUGGCCUAUGUUCAUGAAUUGAUGCAAAAUAUCAUCGGGUCCAGCAAACGAACAGUCACGGAAAAAUGAAAAUAAAAUGAGGAAUAUUGAUUGCAUGGUAUAUAAACGAACUUACUAAUAAGAUUCCCUCUCUCUACUUCCCUCGCCCAUUAAUUUCUAUUGGAUACCGAUUCAAAACUAUUCUCAUUAGGAAACGGUCACUAUUAGACGUAUGCACUGAAGUUACAACUUAAUGGUAAUCGUUUAUUUGACAACAAUUCUUCAAGUCAUAAUGCUUCGAAGAUCAAUGUGAUCGUUCUCAUAAAUGUACGUCACAUCUCUUCACAUUAUGAAUCCCUCGUAUACUUCACUGAGAAAAGAACAAUUAGGGCUCAUUUGGUUUAUGAAGAUCAUGAAUACAAAGGGAAAAAAAAAGGCAGUUAGGAGCAUGGUUCAAAGUCAUGGUCGCGAUUGCCGUUUGGACAGUUCCACAUCGAUCUUGACAUAUCGGUUACGGUCUCAAUGAGACAUAAAUUUUAAAAUAUUUAAUAUUCUAAAAAUUGUGAAUAAUAUAAAAAAAUAUAAUAAACAAAAAUAAUAAAAAAAUAGCAAAAAUAAUAAAAAUUCGAGUUGACUUGAGCUGAUUCGAAACGACUCGACUAUUACUCGACUGUUUCUAUCCUUCUCGAAGACAUCUCGGUGACUCGAUCAAGUUUUUGGCGAUCCAUUAUCUCAAAAUUAUCUCAUCCCGAAAUCGUAUCAGAGAAUUCCAUUUCGGUGACGACUCGAUUGAGUCUUUGAACCAUCGUGAGAAGAACUCAUCUGACAAGAGUGUAUUAUUAACCCUCCUCCUUUCCAUACUCCUUCAUUUUCAGACGUUAAUGAUUCGCCCAAUCAGUGGCAAACCAUGACAACAGGAUGAAAUAAUCUUCUUUAGCGAGAGUUAGGAUAUUUACCUCAAAACAAGUUGAUUAGAUGAUAAUACGACUAGAACUUUGUACACCUUUUUAACCAAUUUUAGUCACUUAGGUUGAGAAGGGUAAUCUCUGUUACAACAAGCUCUAGCAGUCAUAGCCGUGAGCAAGACGGACAACAUUCUACCAUGGUUCACAAUAAUUCACAAUUGGUAAAUCAUAAAUGGCUUCCCGCGGGAAAUAUAAUACAUGGACAGCUGAUGCUCUGAAGCUAUCUGCACUGCCACUCCAGGUCAUUCGAGAAAACGGUUCAGAAAGUAUGGAAGAAUACAUACUACUAACAGACAACCAUAGUAACACAAGUAGAAAGAUGGAAUAUGUAUCAUCUGCUGACAACACGCAGAUUCCAGGUUUUAUUCGUCAAUAACAGUCAUCCAUAGCAUAGACUCUUAAAGGCUAAACUUUGGUAAAAGCACAUGGUAAAUCCAAGAUCCCAAAAAAUUGUGAAUUUCAUUACUGGCGUCUGUACAUUCUAAAAAGGUUGUUUCCCAAACCAGGCACUCUCCUCAACUCAAUCAAAUAAGUCAAAAAUGGAAAAUAAACCUUAUACAUAAAAAAUACAGAAUAGGCCCACCCUGCAAGAGAAUUAUAUCACACAAUUUACAAAAUGAACAACCAAAAUUAAAUUUCCGCAC
rnacentral:lncRNA from 1 species